rnacentral:rRNA from 1 species
AUUGAACGCUGGCGGCAGGCCUAACACAUGCAAGUCGAACGGUAGCACAGAGAGCUUGCUCUCGGGUGACGAGUGGCGGACGGGUGAGUAAUGUCUGGGAAACUGCCCGAUGGAGGGGGAUAACUACUGGAAACGGUAGCUAAUACCGCAUAACGUCGCAAGACCAAAGUGGGGGACCUUCGGGCCUCACACCAUCGGAUGUGCCCAGAUGGGAUUAGCUAGUAGGUGGGGUAAUGGCUCACCUAGGCGACGAUCCCUAGCUGGUCUGAGAGGAUGACCAGCCACACUGGAACUGAGACACGGUCCAGACUCAUACGGGAGGCAGCAGUGGGGAAUAUUGCACAAUGGGCGCAAGCCUGAUGCAGCCAUGCCGCGUGUAUGAAGAAGGCCUUCGGGUUGUAAAGUACCUUCAGCGGGGAGGAAGGCGGUGAAGUUAACAGCUUCACCGAUUGACGUUACCCGCAGAAGAAGCACCGGCUAACCCCGUGCCAGCCGCCGCCGUAA